rnacentral:rRNA from 1 species
UAAACGAUGAGUGCUAAGUGUUGGAGGGUUUCCGCCCUUCAGUGCUGCAGCUAACGCAUUAAGCACUCCGCCUGGGGAGUACGACCGCAAGGUUGAAACUCAAAGGAAUUGACGGGGGCCCGCACAAGCGGUGGAGCAUGUGGUUUAAUUCGAAGCAACGCGAAGAACCUUACCAGGUCUUGACAUCCUUUGACCACUCUAGAGAUAGAGCUUCCCCUUCGGGGGCAAAGUGACAGGUGGUGCAUGGUUGUCGUCAGCUCGUGUCGUGAGAUGUUGGGUUAAGUCCCGCAACGAGCGCAACCCUUAUUGUUAGUUGCCAUCAUUNAGUUGGGCACUCUAGCAAGACUGCCGGUGACAAACCGGAGGAAGGUGGGGAUGACGUCAAAUCAUCAUGCCCCUUAUGACCUGGGCUACACACGUGCUACAAUGGGAAGUACAACGAGUUGCGAAGUCGCGAGGCUAAGCUAAUCUCUUAAAGCUUCUCUCAGUUCGGAUUGCAGGCUGCAACUCGCC